rnacentral:lncRNA from 1 species
UAUGGCGGGAAAUCUUUGAUUCCCUCCAUAAUUUUCUAGUCUCAACUAGGUAAUUACCGGUGUAGCAAUACCUAGGGCUUCAAUAUAAAUUAGGGUUCCGAGUUUGAACACAUCCAUCCCCAUAUCGACUGCCUCAAGGUUCUCGUCCCCCCGUUACUGUGAUGUUUUCUGCUUUUCUUUCCUCUUGAUUUGACUGUGUUGGCUUUGUCUAAAACUCUAAAUCACCGAUCCUUCUGGUAUUAGUUUUAUUUUUAUUUUUAUUGCAGAUCACAGAACACAAUUGAAUUGCCCUCAAGUUGUAGGCGGAGAAGACCCUUGGCCUUGAUAGGACAGCAACAAAACAUAAGGUACUCUACGUACCUAAUUUUUUCUUCAAUUCUUUUCGUUUGAUAUUCUGAUGCUUCUAUGGAUUUCUAGGUUGCCCAGCAAAACUAAAUUGCCCCCUAAGUCACUCUGAAGAGACCUUUCGACACAGAAAAAAUUGAUUGAGGUAUUACCUUGGCUUAAAUUAUUCUUGGACUAAUCCUCUGACCCUUUUUGAAAGGCAAAAUUGACCAUUUGCCAAAGCUAAUGGCACUCAUGCAUGCACGUGGGUGAUCUUUAAUCACCUUGAAUACUCUUCUUAAUUCCCAUGGCAGCACCUCUUCUCCUUCAUUUUUAUUUACGCAGCAACCCUUUUCUUUUUUUUCUUUUUUCAGACUUUGGUAAUAAUUCGGUGGUAAUUGAAGAACGCGAACACCUAACCGCUUGAUUUGUUCCACUUCUUUGAUGUGGGAUAAGUCGUUCAAAGUGUUUAGGCUUUUCGUACCUUGGCGGCAAUUGAAAAACGCGAACACCUAACCAUUUGAUUUCUUCCAUCUCUUAGUCGUGGGAUUAAUAAUCGCUCAAAGUGUUUAGGCUUUGCGUACCUUGAUGGCAAUUGAAGAAUGCAAACACCUAACCGCUUGAUUUUUUUUCACCUCUUAGACGUGGGAUUAAUCGCUCAAAGUGUUUAGGCAUGCGUACCUUGAUGGCAAUUGAAGAACGCGAACACCUAACUAUUUGAUUUCUUCCACCUCUUAGACGUGGGAUUGAUCGCUCAAAGUGUUUAGGCUUUGUGUACCUUGAAGAUAAUAUGAAGAACACGAAAACCUAAACUCUUGAUUUGUUCCACCUCCUAGACGUUAGAUAAAUCAUUUAAAAGUGUUUAGGCUUUGCGUACCGUGAAGACAAUCUGAAGAGCGUGAAAACCUAUGUAAUACCCCGGAAAUUUGUUAUUAGUUUCUAAUAAUAAUUGGGAAUUUUCGAGUUUAAGUUAGUGUGUUUUGAGGUUCGAAGGAAGAUUGGAAGUGUUCGGAUGCAUAAGUUACCCGAAACGAUAUUUUGGUUUUGAAGGGUCAAGAGUUGACUUUCUAAUCUGUUGGGUUUCUCGAGAAACUUCCUUACGAAAGUUGUAGAGCACGAUGAUACGAGUUCGUAGACACGUGGCACGCAUAAAACGGACUUCGUAUGAGAAAGUUAUGGUCAGCAGAAGUUCAUGGCUUUACGAGAAUUUGGGGUUAAAUAAGAAAAGUUUAGGGUUUCCAUUUCAUUUUCCGGAACCCAUUUCUUCUCUCUUUUCCUUCUCUCUCGCGCCUCACCCUCAUUGUCCGAAAAUCCCUUUCGACCCGACCCAAACCCGGCCGACCCGACCCGACUUUUUCGGCCACCUCGGACCGACCUAGACGCCGGCACCGGUUGGGUUUUCUUCCUCUCCUCCGUCCGAGCUGCCUUGUGGUGGUGGCUUGCGCCGAUUCUCAGCGGUGUGUGCGAUUCGAAGCUUGGAUGUUCGGGUUAGAGACCCGAACGAAAUUCUCACCUCCGGCGGUGGCGACGCAGCUUGGAACCGGUCGGGAUAGAUGCUCCUUGGCGUCCUGGUUUUUUUUCUGGUAGUCUUCUAGUGCGACUCACGGCGGAGAGUGACGGUGGUGGAUUCCAAACUUUCAAGCGAGUUUCCAGUGUUUUCCUACCGAUUCCAGCCGAAUUGGUUCAACCGUCAGGUAUAAAAGUUGUUUCCCUUUCUUCAAUCUACAAGUUUGCUGUUGGAAGUUUGUUGAGAUUUUGAAGUUGCUGGGGUGGCGCGUGGGGCCCACUCGUCGCCGUCUAUGGUGGAACGUGGCGGCGCGUCCGACAGGGGUUGGGAGGUUAGGAGUAACUGUUAGCUUAUGUUCGUCGAUACAAGCACGUUGACAUAUCAUGAGGUUAUGUUAUGAUCAAGUUUUGCAUCCUAGGUUUAAGAGAAUCGUGAGAGAUUGUUAAGCUUUGGUGUUUGAGCUUUGAAAUUCUUGUUAGCUAUUUCAAUAGGUUGGUUAAGGGUUCCUAUGACCUUGGGAGGUCUCGGAAGAAGGUUGUCCCUUUUUGGGCAAAUCUUAGGUUAAGGCUUGUUAAGGGUGCAAUGUUCUUUUUGUUUAAGUGGUUAUUAAAGUUAUUAAUUGUGUUAAAUAGGUAGCGUGUGGAGUUGAUAUUUAAGCUUGGCUCUUGUGUUGUGUUGAAGACACAGCGGGAAUUUAGGUGAGUAAAAUCUCACCAAGGUUCACUUUGUGACAUAUUUAUUUAUGGUUAUUAUGAUGAUGAUAAUUAUUAUGAUGAUGAUUAUGAUGAUGAAAAUGUUGAUGAUGAAGAUUUAAAAACUAUGUUUUUCUUUUUGCUUGUUUUAAAAUAUAUGAGUUUAAUCGCCAACGACUCAUAGGUAAGAAAAAACAAGUUUUUAUAUUUAAAUGAUUAUUUUUAAGGUUCUUGUGAUCAUAAUAUUUUAGUUCUUGGUAGAUUAUUCUUGUGGGAAUAUCUAUGAUUGUUCAUAUAAAUAUAUCUAUGUGGAAGAAUAUAAUUUUUAUGAUGUGCUCUUUGUGUUGUUGAUGAUGAUAUUAUUAUAUUGUGAGUAAAUCUCACAUGGGUUCAUAAAGAAAUCGAGUUUAUUUUAUAGUUUAUUAUUGCUAAUUGUGAAGUUGUCCUUGAAAUGAAAUGAUUUUGUUUUUAAAUAUAAAUGAGCUUGAUCGUCAACGGCUCAUGGGUAAGUAAAAAUAUUUUUCUGAUAAAAAUAAAAUAUUUCAAAAGAACUUCUGAUCAUGGGUUAUUAGUUGUCGAUGUGUGUGUCUUAGUGGUAAUUGUGUGCAUUAGUUGUGGAACAGUGCCUUAGUGGUGAACUGGUGAUUGUGUGCAUUAGUUGUGGAUGUGUGUGUCUUAAUGAUGAUUGUGUGCAUUCGUUGUGGAAUGUGCCUUAGUAGUGAUUGUGUGUCUUAGUUGUGAAUGUGUGCCUUAGUGGUGAUUGUAUGCAUUAGUUGUGGAUGUGUGUCUUAGUGGUGAUUGUGUGCAUUAGAUUAGGAGUCUUCGUGGUGGACCGGGAACCAAGCCUUGGCCGGGUGAUUGAUUACGGUCAGUAUAGAGCUCUAGUUUGUCUGUCGGUACUUCAUGGGGGAUGACUAAGUGUCAACGAACCCAUGCGUACGCGUUUGUUUGGUUACUUAUGAGGGAUGACUAAGUGUUGACGAACUCAUAAGUAAGAGUAGAGAAAUGAUUAUGUGAUGUUCUUAUGUGUUGUCAUUUAAAUUCCUUGCUUUGAGUAUCUCCUGAACUAUGCUUAUCCGCAGGAGAUUCUAAAUCUUUACUUGUGAUUUUUAGUGAAUUCCUGAACUACAUUUUUUUGCAGGAUUCAUUUAUGAUUUUAAUUAUUUGUGGAUGGUUGUGUUUUCUUAUUUACUCUAUUUUAAAUUCUCUCAUUUUUAGGCAAUUCCUGAACUAAGUUUAUAAGCAAGAAUUACUGAUGUUUAUCUUGUGAUGUUAGGUUGAGUUCUUUAAUGUAGAUUUACUCAUAUGAGCUUUUAAAGCUUACCGAGUUUGUUGUUUACAACCCGGUACACCAAUCCAGGGUGUAGAGGUUGAUUUUGCAGGUCAGGUUUAGCAGAGUUAAGGCUGCGGCAAUUAGGUAAUUUUUCUUUUUGUUUACUUUCUAGUUGUUGUGAGUAUUGAGAGAGUUUUACUUUGUUCAAAAUUAUUUUCCACAAGUUGUAAAACUAAAUUGUUGUAGUGAUUGUUUUUCUUUUUUGGUUAUUAUGCCUUGAAUUUGAAAUUUUUUAUUUAUCCAAAAUUUAGGGUGUGACAACCUAAACGCUUGAUUUGUUCCACUUUCUGAAAGCGGGAGGAAUCACUUAAAGUGCUUAGGCUCUACGUAUUUUUCGACCGCGCAAGGAAGAGUAGAAAUCCUGAGAUUGCACAAAGUCAUCCUCUUUCAAGUUUUGUAUGUCUCUUCUUUAACAUGGAAAACACUUCGAGCAAAUUCAUUUCCUUGUUUUGAUAUGGCAGUACUCUAUACAACCCGAGCAAACUCAUUUUCUUACUUUGUUAUGACUGGACUUAGAAGCAUCUUCCAAGCUGCCUACGUACUCUUACGAGAAAGAGAUCAAGUCACGACGUAGUUCAAGGAUUUUUUUAUAUUUUUUUAGGUGUCGUACGCAGUUUAUGCUCGUGGGGGCAAGGAGCAUUUUUUUUUUUGUGCCUUGUGCAGUUGAGGCUCAUGCAGGCUAGGAGUUGUUUUUUUUUUUCUUUUUUUUGGUUGUCAUUUGCAAUUUAAGCUCGUGCAGACAAGGAGCGAUAAUUUUUUUUUGUUUUUUGUUUUUUUUUGUGUGUCAUUCGCAGUUUAAACUAGUGCGGACAAGAAACAUUUUGACUCUUGAGUGGUCUACAUAAAUUUAGACGGGUUGCAUGCCCCUAACAAAGGUGUUGAGGACACCACUUCAAGGUGUUCAAAAAAGAUGGUUGCAUAAUUUGACUAAGCCACGUCAUCUUCAACAUCUAAACAUAUCUUUCCUUGUUGUGCUAGCUUCAUGAUGAGGUCUUUCAAGACGAAGCCCUUCUCCAGGAUGACCGAUGACACGGUGGUACUUGUAAUACUUAGGAUCAUUGACACGAUGCAUCUCUUCUGGACGCUUGCAGUCUGGCAAUUUGAUUAGUUCUUUUUCAAGCAAGUUUUCCAACAUCUCAACAACAUCGAAAUCUGGAAAAGGGUAACUUUUAGCUUCCAAGUCAUUUAGAGUUUGCCUCCUUGCUUGAUCUUGCAGGAGUUGUACUGAUUGCCAAAGACUCUUGAUUCUCUGGUUCUAUGAUGUCACAUUUUCUUUGGCCAUGACUAGCCAAACUGAGUUCCAUGUCAUGAGCUCGGGUAGCAAGUUCUUCAAAGGUGCGAGGCUUUAUCCCUUGAAAAAUGUACAACAAAUCCCAAUGCAUGCCUUGAAUACACAUCUAUACCGCUGACAAUUUUAAGAGUCGGUCUUUGCAGUCGAGACUUAGUGUACGCCAACGAUUGAUGAACUCUACAGCAGGCUCGCCAUUUUGUUGUUUGGUGUUGGUGAGCUCUAACAUACUCACCAUGCGACGUGUGUUGAAGAAGUGGUUCAAGAACUCCUUUUCCAUUUGCUCCCAGCUGUCAAUGAAUUCAGGCUCCAAGUCUGUAAACCAUUUAAACUCCGUGCCUUGGAGUGAGCGAACAAAUUGCUUCACAAGAUGAUCACCAUCGGUGCCAGUGUUGUUGCAUGUUUCGAUGAAAUGUGCGAUGUGUUGCUUUGGGUUACAUUUGCCAUCAAAUUGUUAAAACUUGGGAGGUUGGUAACCAGUUGACAUUCUCAAAUUGUCUAGCCGCUUGGUGUAAGACUUGGAAUACGUUAGUGUAUCUCGAGGCGAACCACCAUAUUGAGCUUUGAUUGUCUUGGCAAUCAUGUCUUGAAGCUGUUGAACUAACAAUGAAGCUAGGAUGGAAUUUGAUUCUCCUUUUUGCUCGGAAGAUGAUCCACUAGACUUGUCUUUCUUAUCGCCAUGAAGGUUAUUCUCCGAGUCAUUGUCGUGGUGAACUUCUAGCUUCUCCAUGAGUGAUGCAAUUUCUACAUCCUUCUCUUCAAUGGUCUUUUGGAGCUUCUUCACCGCUUCAGUCAACUGGGCUAUUUGGGCCGCUUGUUCUUCCAUGUUGAUCACUUCUAUCACCAUGACUUGCAUGGCGCAAGAGUCGUCUUCUAGAAUCGCUUCAAUUUGAUUGUCAAGAUGCAAUUCCAAGUGUGGACAUAUCUUCGAAUCAACUUUGGUUGUGGGCGAAGGAGAAUGUUUCCUCGAGUUGCCUGACGAUGUUAAAAGUCUUUGCUUCGUGAGGUUUGCCACCAUUGUUGUCCAAACGUCGAUCAGCUGAAACUGCUUUGAGGAAUGAAGGUUGAAUGUUGUGAGUUGAAAUGACUCACUAUGAGCAACAUGAUCGCUAAGGUUUCUACUGCUUUUCAGAGUAGCUAUAUAGCUACCUUGUUGGUCUUGUUUUUCGAUUUGAUUUGCACCAUCUUUGAAGCCAUGUGAUGAGGAUGGCGAGAUUGUCGGAGGAGGAGAUGAGAGGCAGAGAUGGUCUCACUGGGCGUGCCAAUUUUGUAAACACGAAAAUUUCUGUAACGAAUAACAGAAAGACAUGUGUACAAAAUAAUAUAUUUGUAUUGAUUGAAUUUGCGGGUUACAAUCUCUGUGGGUAUUCUUUUAACAAGAAUGUCCUCUGAUUCGAUCUCCAUCGUUGAUUUGAUCCAAGGGUGACGAGCACUUGAUCUUGAAUUGAACUGUUGUAGUUUGAACUUCUUAUCGUGUUGACGAUUUGUAGAAGGAAGUUGACCAAGGGCCGUAGAGGCUUGAUCUUGGUCGAAUUUGGGUCGAGAAAGGUGUCACGUGGUGAACGUUCUUCGGCUUGAUAGCGGAUGAAUCGGCACGUGUGUUUGGUGCUUGUUGAUUCUCCAACAGCUUGUUGAAGAACUUGGUAAAAGUUUUGAUUUGUUGAAAGGCUUGAAGACGAGGGUUGAUCAAAGGCCGUAGAGGCUUGACAUUGAUCGGGUUUGGGCCACGAGCAGUUCCACGUGGUGGUUGCUCUUCGUCUUGUAGUUGGUGAAGAUGUCGGCUAUUUGACAAUUUGGGACUCUUCGGGAUUUGACAACUUCUAGGUUUGAGGUUGAUGAAGAAUCGACUAUUUGACAGCUUGAUAAUUCUUCAAGGGUUCUGGGAGAAUUCUGAGCUCUCGAGAGUAAUUUUUCUCUCUUGUCCGGAAGUCCUCUUCUUGAUAUGAGAGAGGGGUAUUUAUAGUGUCGACGUUCCUCCGUUUAUGGAAUGUUUUGAAGACAGUGUUUUAAUUGUAUUUCCUUAACAGUAUAAUUAAAUCAAUCAGUUUUGAUUGAUUGAUCUAAUUAUAAUUAUUAACAUAAUUAAAUCAGUCUGUAUUUAUUGAUUGAUUCGAUUAUGACUGAUAAAGUAUUUUGCUAAUUUGAUUAAAUGUUCGACUUCCUUUCCGAUAAUCAAUUUAAUUUGAUUGAAAUUUGAUUAUCGAUUGACAUUUAAUAUUUACUUUUAGUCGGAAUUGAUGAUUUUUGUUGUCGACUGAUCAUUCACACGUGACCACAUGUCAUUUUCGAAGACUUUAUAAUUUUUCCAACUGACGAACCACAUAUGC